rnacentral:ncRNA from 1 species
AGAAUAAAAUCGGGGAGCUGGAUGAGUCCGGCUGAGAGGGGACCGUAUGUUCCGACCCAUAACCUGAUCUGGAUAAUGCCAGCGUAGGGACGUUUUAGCACUCUUAAG